CCUACGGGGGGCUGCAGUGGGGAAUAUUGGACAAUGGGGGCAACCCUGAUCCAGCCAUGCCGCGUGUGUGAAGAAGGCCCUCGGGUUGUAAAGCACUUUCAGUGAGGAAGAACGCCUGGUGGUUAAUACCCAUCAGGAAAGACAUCACUCACAGAAGAAGCACCGGCUAACUCCGUGCCAGCAGCCGCGGUAAUACGGAGGGUGCGAGCGUUAAUCGGAAUUACUGGGCGUAAAGCGCGCGUAGGUGGCUUGAUAAGCCGGUUGUGAAAGCCCCGGGCUCAACCUGGGAACGGCAUCCGGAACUGUCAAGCUAGAGUGCAGGAGAGGAAGGUAGAAUUCCCGGUGUAGCGGUGAAAUGCGUAGAGAUCGGGAGGAAUACCAGUGGCGAAGGCGGCCUUCUGGACUGACACUGACACUGAGGUGCGAAAGCGUGGGGAGCAAACAGGAUUAGAUACCUUGUAGUC
rnacentral:rRNA from 1 species